rnacentral:lncRNA from 1 species
GGCCGGAUGAGAAGUGGGAGACGGGGAGCGUUUUGACACCCUCGGAGACCCGGUGUAGCAGGAAGAGCCCAUUGAUGGGGAAGGUGGGGGCGGUUGUGCACCUCAAGCAGCCCCUCAAGGCCACGAGGAUCAGUGCUCGGAGCCUGGAGGGCUGUGUGCAGGAGUAGCAGGGCCACUGAUGCCAGCGGGAAGGCCAGGCAGGGCUUCUGGGUGGAGUUCAAGGUGCAUCCUGACCGCUGUCACCUUCAGACUCUGUCCCCUGGGGCUGGGGCAAGUGCCCGAUGGGAGCGCAGGGUCUGGGACUGUAGGGUCCAGCCCUACGGAGCUUAGCAGGUGUUCUCCCCGUGUGUGGAGAUGAGAGAUUGUAAUAAAUAAAGACACAAGACAAAGAGAUAAAGAGAAAACAGCUGGGCCCCGGGGACCACUACCACAAAGACACGGAGACCGGUAGUGGCCCUGAACGGCUGGGCUCGCUGAUAUUUAUUGCAUACAAGACAAGGGGGCAGGAUAAGGAGGGUCAGUCUUCUAAGUGAUUGACAAGGUGAAGCAAGUCACGUGAUCACAGGACAGCGGGCCCUUCCCUCUUAGGUAGCUGAAGCAGAGAGAGAAGGCGGCAGGCAUCAGCGUUUUCUUCUAUGAACUUAUAAGAUCAAAGACUUUAAGACUUUCACUAUUUCUUCUACCGCUAUCUACUACGAACUUCAAAGAGGAACCAGGAGUACGGAAGGAGCAUGAAAGUGGACAAGGAACGUGACCAUUGAAGCACCACAGGGAGGGGUUCAGGCCUCCGGAUGACUGCAGGCAGGCCUGGGUAACAUCCAGCCUCCCACAAGAAGCUGGUGGAGCAGAGCGUUCCCUGACUCCUCCAAGGAAAGGAGACUCCCUUUCCCGGUCUGCUCAGUAACGGGUGCCUUCCCAGACACUGGCGUUACCGCUUGACCAAGGGGCCCUCAAGCGGCCCUUAUGCGGGCAUGACAGAAGGCUCCCCUCUUGCCUUCUAUUCACUUCUCACAAUGUCCCUUCAGCACCUGACCCUAUACCUGCCGGUUAUUCCUAGGUUAUAUUAUUAAUGCAACAGAGUAAUAUUAAAAGCUAAUGAUUAAUAAUGUUUAUAAUAAUGAUGGAUAAUUGUUCAUGAUCAUCGCUGUAUCUAAUUUGUAUUAUGACUAUUCUUAUUCUAUUUUCUUUAUUAUACUGAAACAGUUUGUGCCUUCAGUCUCUUGCCUCGGCACCUAGGUACUCUUCCGCCCACACGGGACGGGCUGGGGGUGGCCAUCUCGGGCUCUGGGAAGGGGCCGGGGCUGUGAGCUGAAGGCUCCAUCACCUCCAGAUGCUGCAGCAGCAGGAAUGCCGGUUCCUGUACCCUCGGAAGGAGGGGCAGAGUGUGGAGAACAAGCCCAAGAAUCACUAC